UGGGGAAUAUUGGACAAUGGGCGAAAGCCUGAUCCAGCCAUGCCGCGUGUGUGAAGAAGGUCUUCGGAUUGUAAAGCACUUUAAGUUGGGAGGAAGGGCAGUAAGCGAAUACCUUGCUGUUUUGACGUUACCGACAGAAUAAGCACCGGCUAACUCUGUGCCAGCAGCCGCGGUAAUACAGAGGGUGCAAGCGUUAAUCGGAAUUACUGGGCGUAAAGCGCGCGUAGGUGGUUCGUUAAGUUGAAUGUGAAAGCCCCGGGCUCAACCUGGGAACUGCAUCCAAAACUGGCGAGCGAGAGUAGGGCAGAGGGUGGUGGAAUUUCCUGUGUAGCGGUGAAAUGCGUAGAUAUAGGAAGGAACACCAGUGGCGAAGGCGACCACCUGGGCUCAUACUGACACUGAGGUGCGAAAGCGUGGGGAGCAAACAGG
rnacentral:rRNA from 1 species